rnacentral:rRNA from 1 species
AAGGCUAGCGUUUAUUAGACUAAGACCGAUGUUUGUUGUAAAAGGCAAUCUAUUUAAGGUGGUGACUCUGAAUAAAUAAUGGGUGAAAGCCCAUGAUGCGGACCCUUGUAAAAGUCGCUUCAUUCGUGUUGUGAUAAGGGCAAAUCAUUCGAGUGUCUGCUCUAUCAACUGUGGAUGGUAGGAUAUAUGCCUACCAUGGUGGUAACGGGUAACGGGGAGUUAGGGCUCGACUCCGGAGAACAAGCCUGAGAAACGGCUAGUAGGACUAAGGUCUGCAGCAGGCGCGAAACUUACACAAUGGGAGCACAUCCCUGAUGUAGUGAAGGAAAAUAACGAUGUAUCUCUCAUUACUGAGUGAUACAAUUGGAAUGAGACGACUGUAAAUAUGUUAGUCGAGUAACAAAUGGAGGGCAAGUCUGGUGCCAGCAGCCGCGGUAAUUCCAGCUCCAUUAGCGUAUAUUAAAGUUGUUGCGGUUAAAAAGCUCGUAGUUGAAGUUAGCUUGGUUUUAGUAAGUGGUGAGUCGAUGAAGGGUGCUUGCUGGUAGUUUUAGUUGAUCCAACGAUAUACGUCCGGCAUCACCUGACUCAUCAACUUAUUCAAAGCCAAUGUUUCGUCACUUUAUCCGAGUGCGAAGCGUGUUGUUAUAUACAAAUUGAUAUUUAUUAUCAAGAAUAUGGCAACAAGUUUACCUUGAGAAAAUUAGAGUGCUCACAGCAGGCAGUUGGGGUGUAAAAGCCCUUUAAUGCUUGAAUAAUGUUGCAUGGAAUAAUAGAAUACGGCCUCGGUUCUAUUCUGUUGGUCUUAUAGAACAACAAAAAGUUGGUAAUUGCAAUCAAGCUCUCUUUUGAUGCUGGUUUUGUGAGUGGUGGUUUACGAGUUAGUUAUGUUGCCUGAAUGAUCAAAAGUCCAGUGCCAUGCAAUCUAAAUCAUAUCACUUAUAUUACCAUUAAAGGUAUCAUAAGUAGACAAGCAACCACCAAUUGAGGCAAUGGUUAAAAGAAAUAGUCGCGGCGGCAUCAGUACUGCAUCGCUAGAGGUGAAAUUCUUAGACCGAUGCAAGACUAACUGAAGCGAAAGCGUUUGCCGAGGAUGUUUUCAUUAAUCAAGAACGAAAGUUAGAGGUUCGAAGGCGAUCAGAUACCGCCUAGUUCUAACCAUAAACGUUGCCAACUAGCAAUUGGCCUGAAUUCUAUUUCAACAAAUUGAAUGAUUCGGCCAGCGGCUCUAGGGAAACCAAAGUUUUUGGGUUCCGGGGGAAGUAUGAUUGCAAAGUUGAAACUUAAAGGAAUUGACGGAAGGGCACCACCAGGAGUGGAGCCUGCGGCUUAAUUUGACUCAACACGGGGAAACUUACUAGAUUAGAACACAGGAAUGAUUGACAGAUUGAUAGCUCUUUCUUGAUUCUGUGGGUGGUGGUGCAUGGCCGUUCUUGAUUCGUAGAUUGAUUCGUCUGCUUAAUUGCGAUAACGAGUGAGACCUCGCUUUACUAACUAGUCGCUAGGUGCAUCUUUGACGCAAAAGUUUGUCCUAUUUGGCUAUCGUUUGUUGGUAGCAAUACCGCGGACAAUAAUUGGAUAGGUUCGAAUGUCUUUGACUCGCCAGCGGACUUCUUAGAGAGAUAAACGGUGUUUUAGCCGUAAGAAAUGAGGCAAUAACAGGUCUGUGAUGCCCUUAGAUACUCUAGGCCGCACGCGUGCUACAAUGGUGUGCGCAGAAAGCUUAUUCGAUAUCCGGCUAAAGAGAACUGCCAGUUUUGGUGCUUGGUUAGAUUGAAAGAUUUGAUCAUGUGUCGGACAGGAAAGUGACUUUGGUGAUAAACGGGUAGAGAGAAACCUUGGCCGAAAGGUCAGGGCAAUCAAAAAUUCAUGCCGUGAUUUGGGAUUGGGGAUUGCAAUUAUUGUCCAUGAACGAGGAAUUCCCAGUAAGCGCAAUUCAUCAUAUUGCGUUGAUUACGUCCCUGCCCUUUGUACACACCGCCCGUCGCUACUACGAUUGGAAGUUUAGUGAGGCAUUUGGACCUGCUGCGUCAAGGUUUCGGCUCUCGUGUGCGGGAAAGUCUGUCGACUCAAAUUUCUAGAGA